UGCCAAUAAACUCUCAUUACUUAGCAUUUGAACCACAGAAGACAUGUUUGGUCUAUCUUCAGGACUUUGUUGAACACAUAAUAGUCCCACUUGAAUUGACCUUAAAACUUGAGAAAUAUGGCAAGAUUCAGCUAUCUUCUCAUCAAUUAGUUCCAAGGAUCUAUCUUCCUUGUAAAGCUUCCAUGCGUGACCGAGAAGGUUA
rnacentral:misc_RNA from 1 species